CAGCCUGAUUUCGUCUCUGCUGCUCAGCUAUGACAGCUUCUUGUAGGCUCAGCAAAACCUGACUUUAUACCUCCAGAGACACACUGAUGGGGAAAUAUUGAACACCACAAGCAACACUCACUGUGCGUUCCUACUACCAACACCACAGAGUUGGGAGCCUUGGCCUGAAAAAGAGGACACAGAAUGCUUAGCCAACCUUUCCACCGGGAGAGCAAAUAAGCUGGGACUGAUGACAAGUUGGGCAUUCAUAAUGUGCUGCUAGAGGUGAAAUUCUUGGACCAGCGCAAAACAGACCAGAAUCAAAGUAUUUGCCAAGAAUGUUUUUAUUAAUCAAGAAUGAAAGUCGGAGGUUCAAAGAUGAUCAGAUACUGUCGUAGUUCCGACUAAAAACGAUGC